AUUUAAAUUUGAAUACACUAAUAAACAAAAGACUUUAAGUGAAAAACAAUUUCAGACUUAUCAUUCGCUGCUUAAGAAAAAAAAAGACUUACCGCGUUGAAGUAUUAACAAGAACUUUAAAAAAAAAAAUGAGAGAAAAUGAAAAUCGUCAGUAUUAAAGUUGUUCUUCAUUUUGUCAUAAGUAACAAUUAAUUCACAUUCAAAAAGGUUGAUAUAUUAUAUGUUAUCGCAAGGAAAUGGACAGAGCCGCCUGUUGGCCGUACGGCAACCCCAAAUUAAAUAUUCGGGAUUUUUCAUGGAAUUUCGGGAUAAAAAAAUUGUUAAAAAAAUAAAAGUGUGAUGAUAAAUUAAUGAAGAAAUUUAUUAUAAUAAUUGUCCUGUCAUUUACUGAAAGGAACCAUGAUAUGUGGAAAAGUUAAAACUGAUUAAUUUGGUUUGAACUUUCUGUCACUUGCCGGGAACUGAAGAAAAAAACACAAUCAGUAAACUUCAUCUGAACAACAGAAGGUACACAUAUAUAAACAUGAUUUAAAGUGUCAUAAUUUACCAGCAGCAUUCAGUGCCCUAAGGUCCGCGUUUAAAUAGUUUGAGGUGCAAAAUAGUUGAUUUAACGAGUUUAAACGUUGAAAAUCUGUAUCGAUACAUUGAAUUCGUUUCGUCUAACGUUAUAGCGUAGAAACGUCACGUUCCGUAAUAUAGCGUUACUGAUGUAAACAAGAUGUCCACAGCUCCGACUGCAAGGGAUUUCCUUCUGUUAAGAUGAGUUUCCAUAUAGUGUACAAGCAUUUCAGGUAUGCAACUUGUUUAUUUUAUCAAGUUUUACCAUUUGUGAUACAUUUUUCGUACUUGAGCGCUCUGGCAUUGUCUCUAUCGUCCCCGGGUAAUCUACCCGGGAGCUUGCACCAUUGAAGGUAAUGGAGGGCGAGCUGGACUCAGUGACAAC
rnacentral:lncRNA from 1 species